rnacentral:rRNA from 1 species
UGGGGAAUAUUGCACAAUGGGCGAAAGCCUGAUGCAGCGACGCCGCGUGAGGGAUGACGGCCUUCGGGUUGUAAACCUCUUUCAGCAGGGAAGAAGCGAAAGUGACGGUACCUGCAGAAGAAGCGCCGGCUAACUACGUGCCAGCAGCCGCGGUAAUACGUAGGGCGCAAGCGUUGUCCGGAAUUAUUGGGCGUAAAGAGCUCGUAGGCGGUUAGUCGCGUCUGCUGUGAAAACUCGAGGCUCGACCUCGGGCUUGCAGUGGGUACGGGCCGACUAGAGUGCGGUAGGGGUGACUGGAAUUCCUGGUGUAGCGGUGGAAUGCGCAGAUAUCAGGAGGAACACCGAUGGCGAAGGCAGGUCACUGGGCCGCAACUGACGCUGAGGAGCGAAAGCAUGGGGAGCGAACAGGAUUAGAUACCCUGGUAGUCCAUGCCGUAAACGUUGGGCACUAGGUGUGGGGUCCAUUCCACGGAUUCCGUGCCGCAGCAAGCGCAUUAAGUGCUCCGCCUGGAGAGUACGGCCGCAAGGCUAAACUC